UGAACGCUGGCGGUAUGCUUAACACAUGCAAGUCGAACGGAAACGAUACUAGCUUGCUAGUAGGCGUCGAGUGGCGGACGGGUGAGUAACGCGUAGGAAUCUGCCUGAUAGUGGGGGAUAGCCCGGAGAAAUUCGGAUUAAUACCGCAUAAUCUAUUCGUAGUAAAGUGGGGGACUUUCGAGCCUCACGCUAUCAGAUGAGCCUGCGUAAGAUUAGCUUGUUGGUAGGGUAAAAGCCUACCAAGGCGACGAUCUUUAGCUGGUCUGAGAGGAUGAUCAGCCACAUCGGGACUGAGACACGGCCCGAACUCCUACGGGAGGCAGCAGUGGGGAAUAUUGGACAAUGGGGGCAACCCUGAUCCAGCAAUACCGCGUGUGUGAAGAAGGCCUGAGGGUUGUAAAGCACUUUCAAUUGUGAAGAAAAGUUAACGGUUAAUAACCGUUAGCCUUGACGUUAACUUUAGAAGAAGCACCGGCUAACUCCGUGCCAGCAGCCGCGGUAAUACGGAGGGUGCAAGCGUUAAUCGGAAUUACUGGGCGUAAAGCGUGCGUAGGUGGUUUAUUAAGUCAGAUGUGAAAGCCCCGGGCUUAACCUGGGAACUGCAUUUGAAACUGGUAAACUAGAGUAUGGUAGAGGAAAGUGGAAUUUCUGGUGUAGCGGUGAAAUGCGUAGAUAUCAGAAGGAACAUCAAUGGCGAAGGCAGCUUUCUGGACCAAUACUGACACUGAGGUACGAAAGCGUGGGUAGCAAACAGGAUUAGAUACCCUGGUAGU
rnacentral:rRNA from 1 species